GGUGGUGGUGGUGGCGGUGGUGGUGGU
rnacentral:piRNA from 1 species